ACCUGGCUGGCUCAGUCAGUAGAGCACGUGACUCUUGAUCUCAAGGUUGUGAGUUCAAGCCCCACAUUGAGUA
rnacentral:tRNA from 1 species